UCCAGACUCCUACGGGAGGCAGCAGCGGGGGAUAUUGCACAAUGGGGGGAACCCUGAUGCAGCGACGCCGCGUGGGUGAAGGAGCGUUUCGGCGCGUAAAGCCCUAUCGGCAGGGAAGAAGGAGGACGGUACCUGACUAAGAAGCCCCGGCUAACUACGUGCCAGCAGCCGCGGUAAUACGUAGGGGGCAAGCGUUAUCCGGAUUUACUGGGUGUAAAGGGGGCGCAGACGGCAGCGCAAGCCAGGAGUGAAAGCCCGGGGCCCAACCCCGGGACUGCUCUUGGAACUGCGCGGCUGGAGUGCAGGAGGGGCAGGCGGAAUUCCUGGUGUAGCGGUGAAAUGCGUAGAUAUCAGGAGGAACACCGGUGGCGAAGGCGGCCUGCUGGACUGCGACUGACGUUGAGGCCCGAAAGCGUGGGGAGCAAACAGGAUUAGAUACCCUAGUA
rnacentral:rRNA from 1 species